AACGAACGCUGGUGGCAGGCCUAACACAUGCAAGUCGAGCGAGACCUUCGGGUCUAGCGGCGGACGGGUUAGUAACGCGUGGGAACGUGCCCUUCUCUGCGGAAUAGCCACUGGAAACGGUGAGUAAUACCGCAUACGCCCUUCGGGGGAAAGAUUUAUCGGAGAAGGAUCGGCCCGCGUUAGAUUAGAUAGUUGGUGGGUAACGGCCUACCAAGUCUACGAUCUAUAGCUGGUUUUAGAGGAUGAUCAGCAACACUGGGACUGAGACACGGCCCAGACUCCUACGGGAGGCAGCAGUGGGGAAUCUUAGACAAUGGGCGCAAGCCUGAUCUAGCCAUGCCGCGUGUGUGAUGAAGGUCUUAGGAUCGUAAAGCACUUUCGCCAGGGAUGAUAAUGACAGUACCUGGUAAAGAAACCCCGGCUAACUCCGUG
rnacentral:rRNA from 1 species